rnacentral:tRNA from 1 species
GCGGAAGUAGCUUAGUUGGUAGAGCGUCAGCCUUCCAAGCUGAAGGUCGCGGGUUCAAGUCCCGUCUUCCGCU